rnacentral:lncRNA from 10 species
CGCAUAUUCUCAGAUUAAAAACUAGAAGAAACUACCUGUGAAACUACCUUGUUAUGUGUGGAUUCAGCUGACAGAGUUAAAGCUUUCGUUUGAUUCAGCAUGUUGGAAACACUAUUUUUGUAGAAUCUGCAAAGAGACAUUUGUAGCCCAUUAAGGCCUACAGGGAAAAACUGAAUAUUCCCAGAAAAAGCUAGAAAGAAGCUAUCUGUGAAUCUAAUUUUUCAUGUCUGGAUUCAUCUCACAGAUACAAAACUUUCUUUUGAUUCAACAAGAUGAAAACACUAUUUUAGAUAAUCUGCAAAGAAACAUUUUGUAACCCAUUGAGGCCUAUGGAGAAAAACAACAUAUUUCCAGGUUGGAAACACUCUAAUUGGAGAAUUGACAAAGGGACAUUUUGGAGUCCAUUGAGGCCUAUGGGGAAAAACUGAAUAUUCCCAGAUUAAAACUAGAAAGAAGCUAUCUGUGAAACUGCUUUGUGAUGUGUGGAUUCAUCUUCCAGACUUGAAUCUUUCCAUUGAUUGAGCAGGUUGGAAACACACUUUUUGUAGAAUGUGCUAACGGACAUUUGGGGGCCCAGUGAGACCCAUAGGGAAAAACUGAAUAUGCCCAGAUAAAAACGAAAGACAACGUAUUGUGAACUGCUUUGUGAGGUGUGGAUUCAUCUCACAGAGUUAAAUCUUUCUUUUGAUUAUGCAGGUUGGCAAACUUUUUUUGUAGAAUCUGUGAAGGGA